AGAGUUUGAUCAUGGCUCAGAUUGAACGCUGGCGGCAUGCUUUACACAUGCAAGUCGAACGGCAGCACGGGCUUCGGCCUGGUGGCGAGUGGCGAACGGGUGAGUAAUGCAUCGGAACGUACCGUGUAAUGGGGGAUAACGUAGCGAAAGUUACGCUAAUACCGCAUACGCCCUGAGGGGGAAAGCGGGGGAUCGCAAGACCUCGCGCGAUUGGAGCGGCCGAUGUCAGAUUAGGUAGUUGGUGGGGUAAAGGCUCACCAAGCCGACGAUCUGUAGCUGGUCUGAGAGGACGACCAGCCACACUGGGACUGAGACACGGCCCAGACUCCUACGGGAGGCAGCAGUGGGGAAUUUUGGACAAUGGGCGCAAGCCUGAUCCAGCCAUUCCGCGUGCAGGAUGAAGGCCUUCGGGUUGUAAACUGCUUUUGUACGGAACGAAACGGUUCUCUCUAAUACAGGGGGCUAAUGACGGUACCGUAAGAAUAAGCACCGGCUAACUACGUG
rnacentral:rRNA from 1 species